rnacentral:rRNA from 1 species
AUACGGAGGAUCCGAGCGUUAUCCGGAUUUAUUGGGUUUAAAGGGAGCGUAGGUGGAUUGUUAAGUCAGUUGUGAAAGUUUGCGGCUCAACCGUAAAAUUGCAGUUGAAACUGGCAGUCUUGAGUACAGUAGAGGUGGGCGGAAUUCGUGGUGUAGCGGUGAAAUGCUUAGAUAUCACGAAGAACUCCGAUUGCGAAGGCAGCUCACUAGACUGUUACUGACACUGAUGCUCGAAAGUGUGGGUAUCAAACAGGACUAGAUACCCUGGUAGUCCACACAGUAAACGAUGAAUACUCGCUGUUUGCGAUAUACAGUAAGCGGCCAAGCGAAAGCAUUAAGUAUUCCACCUGGGGAGUACGCCGGCAACGGUGAAACUCAAAUGAAUUGACGGGG